AUCCCACACAGCCAUGGCUUCCAAGGCUCUUCUCAUGUUGGGUGUUCUCAUUGUGGCUGCACUAUUUGUCACCUCCGACGCUGGUCGGGAGCUGGCCGAGGAAACAAAGGAAAACACUGAAGAGAGGGUAACUGAGGCAGGAGUUACGGACCAGAAGUAUGGUGGUUAUUCAGGAGGAGGCGGCUAUCCAGGCGGCGGUGGAUACCACAAUGGCGGUGGUUAUCAAGGAGGCGGCGGUGGUUACCACAAUGGUGGUGGUUAUCAAGGAGGAGGCGGUGGUUACCACAAUGGCGGUGGUGGUUAUCAAGGAGGAGGCGGUGGUUACCACAAUGGC
rnacentral:misc_RNA from 1 species